GACAGUGACAUAAUUUUUUCCUUGCAACAGCGAGGUUAACAACCUUGACAGUUUGACAUUUAUUCGGUCCAAUUUGGUCAUAAAUCGCAAAAUAAAAUCAAAAAUUAAAUAAACCACAUAUUUUCAAAAUGAGUAAAAUUCUCACAGCAGAUGAAGUUAAACGGCACAAUACAAGAAAAAGUGUUUGGAUGGUGAUUCGUAACGAAGUAUACGAUGUGACUGCAUUUAUUGACGAGCAUCCUGGUGGAGAAGAUCCGAUCCUAGAAGCAGCCGGACAGGACGCCACGAUAGCAUUCGAAGAUGUAGGCCACAGUGAAGAUGCAAAAGCAAUGUUAAAAAAAUACAAAAUUGGAACCCUAGCACCAGGAGAAGGCUGUUGUAAAAUGAGAGCCCAAAUCUGGAGAUCAAGUUCACCAUACCACCGAGAUUGCACCGAGUGUAACGCUAGCAGAUUUCCGAUGCUGCUGAAAGAAGUUGAACAAAAGAAGCACUUGUUGACUAAAUGUCUUUUAGUCUGUACAUGUUUAAAUUGUAAUUCAACUAGUGAUAUGCCUGGCACAAGCGAUUCAAAAUCGUGGCGAUCCUUUGAUGGUGGCACCCCAAGCUCAGUCAGCCGAAAGUCGUCACUCAAAUGUUUUAAAGAACCUGGGCCACCUAGGCACGAGAGGAGAAUACAGCGUAUAGUGGUGCCGAAAGAAAGACGACGGCCUCGAGAUCUGCCUUGUGCAGAACCAAGGUUAUAUUUAUCUUUUAUAUCUAAUUGUUGAAGCAUAGAGUAUCUAUAGUUUAGUUUGAUCUUAGAUAGGUACUUAUGUAUUUGUAAGAGUAUGUGUAUUGUAACUUCACGCUCGUAACCCUUACGUAGGAGCAGAACUCUAAGCGAAAGUGCAUUAUAAAAACAUUCUGAGUCUUCUAACUAAAUUCUCUAAAAGAUAAAAAAAAAACUAUAAUCUCUAUAAAUAAAAUGGCUGCCAGCUGUCAGCCGCCAUCUUAGUUUUGUCACGGUUUUCAUCGCAUUGUUAAAAGCACAUCGCGGUGGAAGUAUGCAGUAUUGGCGCUGGGAGUCGCUAUCCUUCUUGGAUUUGCAUACAAGAAAUACACGUCGGGCUAAAAC